rnacentral:lncRNA from 1 species
AGGGAGCUCGUUGCGAGGUGGUGAAGUUCUUCCAGAGGCAGGACACUAAGGAGACAAACUGUGAGGCGAGAGACAAUCAAGGAUGGCUGCUGUUAAAGUCUCUGCUGUUGCUUACAGCUGACAGCUCAGUGAGUGAAAAGUUUAAAGUGAAGUGACAUAAGGUUUCCAUACUUAUGUUGUCCAAAGCUUUUUACAUUGGAUGUCACUCAUUCAUGGGGAAAUUACUCUUUUUAUGUCCUUGCCUGGCAAUGGACGUUGCACAAAAUUCAUAAUUUAUUGUAUUGAUAAUUAUCACACAAAUCUUCACAAUGUAUCAAACUUAUCAAAACGAGGUGAGUUAUUAUAAUCUAAUAAUAAACUCCUUGAUUUUUUUCCUAAAUGUCUUUCUCUUCAAAUUUCUUCAUUAAAGUGAAAUAUUUUUAGGAUAAAAGGUCAUUUCUUUAAGUGUGUGUGUGUGUGUGUGUGUGUGUGUGUGUGUGUGUGUGUGUGUGUGUGUGUGUGUGUGUGUGUGUGUGUGUGUGUGUGUGUGUGUGUGUGUGUGUGUGUGUGUGUGUGUGUGUGUGUGUGUGUGUGUGUUGUUUGCAGGAUAUAUUGUCCUGUAUAAACCCAGAGCUCCCCGCUGCUUUGGUGAAAUGUUUGUACCUGCUCGUGUGCCUUUCAUCUCAAAAGGAGAACUUGUCAAUAGAAGAGACCUUUCAGGAGCCGCUAACACAGGUCAGUUGAGACAAUAGCCUCAUUUCAUUUUUUUGGAUUUGGGUCACACUCUAAACCUCUUCCCUGCUCUUUUCCAGGUUCUCCUUCAGCUCUGUAGGCAGCCAGUCAAUGUGGAGAGACUGGUGGAAACUCAGGAACUACAGUGUCUUAUCAUUGGCCUCACAUCACUAUGGGACCAGACCAGCGUCGCAUGGAGACAUCAGGCCUCCCGCGUCCUCAAGGCAGUCUCUGCUGUGGCAACCAGCAACACUGUCCCGAGCUUGCAAGGCAAGAACUGCAUGCGUAUCUGCAUCCAGAACCUGCUGCACAUCAGUGGCGAUGUCUCGGGGCCGCUGCUAGCUGAGGUGGCUGUGGCUGUGUUCAGCUUCAUUAGAGACACGUACCCUCUCAAUCCAACCCUCUUCGUGGAGUUUGACACCAACAACGGCUACAAGGCCCUUGAACACAUCCUGAAACGGUGAGAGAAAGGGACAUAAAAAAAAGAAAGGUGAAAGGAUUGAAAUGAGACUUACCCUAAGAAUGCACUUCCUUGUUUAAGAAGAGAAAAGGAAUCAAAAGGAUCU